CAGGUGCAUCCUGGGUGCAGCUGGAGUCCUUAAUGCUAACGGUGGAUGAUGCUUCAGGUGACAUGUGCUUCUACCUUCAGUUAGGUGUGUGAGGACUUUCUGCCGUUUCGGAUUUGAACCCGUUUCCCCAGUGACUGCAGAGCCUCGUUUACUUCAAAAUGUUUGAGACUUUGACGCAUGGACGUGGGACAGAACGUCUAAAUGGACUGAUGUUAUUCUUUGAGAAUGAACGAGCAGAACGGUUGAAUACUAGAGGACUUCGCGGUGCACAGAGCUCGCAGAAUGAAGUUUAAACGAUAUUGAGAUAUUCCACUGGAUAAGGGAGACACUUUGAAAUGCUGCUGGUGCUACGUGAGAAGUCAGAGGAUUAUCAGAGGGAGGAGGUUUCGUCCACUGAGGCCAAGACUGCCAUACAACAUUUCAAAGCAGUCCAUCUUAAGCUGUUGAGAUAUUUCAUUCUGGACCAAACUGGCGAACAGCUAUGUGCAUACUGAUUGAAUCUGCAGUAUCUUCACUGCGUUGUGAACGUUUAUAUCUUUGUUUUGUUUCAGUAAAUCAUCAUCAUAUCAUUUU